GGGAUUAAAGCCAAAAUAUAUAGCUCGUCAUUGAUAAUUGUUUUUGAUUGUUGAUGUGAUUAACAGGACUCAUAAUCCUUUGGUCGUAGGUUCAAGUCCUACUGGGCCCA
rnacentral:tRNA from 1 species